GAAGUGAGCAGCUGCGGGGUAUUGAAACCAGCCCUCACAGUUGGGUCCCUGCCACCAUGGCAACACUCCGGCGUCUGUGCUGGGGUGGCCAAGGCACAAUGGGGUGGUUCCAUGGCCCAGAAGCACUCUGGCUGUAGAUUAGGAAUGCCAAGAACUACAGCAAAAUCUUGUCCAGAUGUGAUUCCACAAUACAGUCAGCCCUGAAGACACAACUCCAGAAUUACAGAUUUUGUCUGUUUAUCCAAAAUUUCUCGCAAUAAAUGUGAUCAAUGAAGAGAAAAACAUUGACGAUGUAAGAAGAGUGAUUUGAGAUGUGGUUUAAGAGUCAGCACACCUGCGUUUGAAUCCUGGUUCUAAUGCUAGACAGCUGUGACCUUGGGAAAAUUGUUUAACUUACUAAGCCUGUUUGCUCAGCUCUAAAUUAGGGCCAGUAAUACCUUUCUCAUAUUGUGACUGUGAGCGCUAACUGUAAAAUAUGUAUUUAAUAAAUGGUAGCUGUUUUGUUGUAAUUAUUACCACAAAAGCUUCGCUAUGUGGGACUUUGCCAUCCUAAAUUAAUUUUUGUAUUUGUGUCUCACUUUGAGCUUCUUCAAAACACCUCUCUAGCCACCAUUUUAUUUUAUCUUCACAGCAACCUUGUAAGCUAGGUAUAACAGACGCGACUAACCUCAUUAAGAAACCAACAACUAGGUGACGUCAAUGCAUUGUCUCAGUCAUCCCGUGUCUGGUCAAGUGCGGCAAGAAUCUGUCUCGUCCUUACCUUCAUGAACAAUCCUCCAAUUUGCUCUCAGACAGCAACCACGGGGAGCUGUUAGAAGUACUGU